GACGAACGCUGGCGGCGUGCUUAACACAUGCAAGUCGAACGGAAAGGCCCUGCUUUUGUGGGGUGCUCGAGUGGCGAACGGGUGAGUAACACGUGAGUAACCUGCCCUUGACUUUGGGAUAACUUCAGGAAACUGGGGCUAAUACCGGAUAGGAGCUCCUGCUGCAUGGUGGGGGUUGGAAAGUUUCGGCGGUUGGGGAUGGACUCGCGGCUUAUCAGCUUGUUGGUGGGGUAGUGGCUUACCAAGGCUUUGACGGGUAGCCGGCCUGAGAGGGUGACCGGCCACAUUGGGAGUGAGAUACGGCCCAGACUCCUACGGGAGGCAGCGGGGGGGAAUAUUGCACAAGGGGCGGAAGCCUGAUGCAGCAACGCCGCGGGGGGGAUGACGGCCUUCGGGUUGUAAACCGCUUUCGCCUGUGACGAAGCGUGAGUGACGGUAAUGGGUAAAAAAGCACCGGCAAACUACGG
rnacentral:rRNA from 1 species